rnacentral:rRNA from 14 species
CUUGAUCCUGGCUCAGAAUGAACGCUGGUAAUAUGCUUAACACAUGCGAGUCAAAUUUUAUUUGGCGCUCGGGUGAGUAAUAAACAGGUAAUCUACCUUUUG